CUUUACUGUAGCUUUGUAUUGGACUUUGAACAGAUCUGUGUAGGAUAGGUGGGAGGCUUUGAAGCAGGGUCGCUAGAUCUUGUGGAGCCAACGUUGAAAUACCACCCUGGUGUGUUUGAGGUUCUAACCUAGGUCCCUUAUCUGGAUCGGGGACAGUGCAUGGUAGGCAGUUUGACUGGGGCGGUCUCCUCCCAAAGUGUAACGGAGGAGUUCGAAGGUACGCUAGGUACGGUCGGACAUCGUGCUAAUAGUGCAAUAGCAUAAGCGUGCUUAACUGCGAGACUGACAAGUCGAGCAGAUGCGAAAGCAGGACAUAGUGAUCCGGUGGUUCUGUAUGGAAGGGCCAUCGCUCAACGGAUAAAAGGUA
rnacentral:rRNA from 1 species